AUUGAACGCUGGCGGCAUGCCUUACACAUGCAAGUCGAACGGUAACAGGUCUUCGGAUGCUGACGAGUGGCGAACGGGUGAGUAAUACAUCGGAACGUGCCUAGUAGUGGGGGAUAACUACUCGAAAGAGUGGCUAAUACCGCAUGAGAUCUACGGAUGAAAGCAGGGGAUCGCAAGACCUUGUGCGACGAGAGCGGCAGAUGGCAGAUUAGGUAGUUGGUGGGAUAAAAGCUUACCAAGCCGACGAUCUGUAGCUGGUCUGAGAGGACGAUCAGCCACACUGGGACUGAGACACGGCCCAGACUCCUACGGGAGGCAGCAGUGGGGAAUUUUGGACAAUGGGCGCAAGCCUGAUCCAGCAAUGUCGCGUGCAGGAUGAAGGCCUUCGGGUUGUAAACUGCUUUUGUACGGGACGAAAAGCCCUGGGUUAAUACCCUGGGGUCAUGACGGUACCGUAAGAAUAAGCACCGGCUAACUACGUGCCAGCAGCCGCCGUAAUAC
rnacentral:rRNA from 1 species